GAAUUGACGGGGGCCCGCACAAGCGGUGGAGCAUGUGGUUUAAUUUGAAGCUACGCGAAGAACCUUACCAGGUCUUGACAUACUAUGCAAAUCUAAGAGAUUAGACGUUCCCUUCGGGGACAUGGAUACAGGUGGUGCAUGGUUGUCGUCAGCUCGUGUCGUGAGAUGUUGGGUUAAGUCCCGCAACGAGCGCAACCCUUAUUAUCAGUUGCCAGCAUUAAGUUGGGCACUCUGGUGAGACUGCCGGUGACAAACCGGAGGAAGGUGGGGAUGACGUCAAAUCAUCAUGCCCCUUAUGACNUGGGCUACACACGUGCUACAAUGGAUGGUACAACGAGUUGCGAACUCGCGAGAGUAAGCUAAUCUCUUAAAGCCAUUCUCAGUUCGGAUUGUAGGCUGCAACUCGCCUACAUGAAGUCGGAAUCGCUAGUAAUCGCGGAUCAGCAUGCCGCGGUGAAUACGUUCCCGGGCCUUGUACACACCGCCCGUCACACCAUGAGAGUUUGUAACACCCAAAGUCGGUAGAGU
rnacentral:rRNA from 2 species